CACGUAGGAGGCGAGCGUUGUCCGGAAUCAUUGGGCGUAAAGAGCGCGCAGGCGGCUUGGCAAGUCGGGUGUGAAAUCCCGGGGCUCAACCCCGGGACUGCAUUCGAUACUGUCAGGCUAGAGGUAGGUAGGGGAGAUCGGAAUUCCUGGUGUAGCGGUGAAAUGCGCAGAUAUCAGGAGGAACACCGGUGGCGAAGGCGGAGCUCUGGGCCGUACCUGACGCUCAGGCGCGAAAGCUAGGGGAGCGAACAGG
rnacentral:rRNA from 1 species